UCCUCGGUAGUAUAGUGGUUAGUAUCCACGUCUGUCACCAUGCGAGACCCGGGUCCAAUUUCCCGGCCGGGGAG